GAUGAACGCUGGCGGCGUGCCUAAUACAUGCAAGUCGAACGCUGGAAAUCUAGCUUGCUCGAUUGCAGGAGUGGCGAACGGGUGAGUAAUACAUAAGCAACCUACCCACGAAGACUGGGUAAAUUCCUGGAAACGGGGACUAAUCCCGGAUAGAUAAUCGGAAGGCUUCUUGUGAUUAUUAAAUGUCAAAAACACUGGUUGAUGGGCUUAUGGCGCAUUAGUUAGUUGGUGAGGUAACGGACCAACAAGACGAUGAUGCGUAGCCGGCCUGAGAGGGUGCACGGCCAGAUUGGGACUGAGACACGGCCCAGACUGAUACGGGAGGCAGCAGUAGGGAAGGCUCGGCAAUGGGGGAAACCAUGACCGAGCAACGCCGCGUGAGUGAUGACGGCCUUCGGGUUGUAAAGCUCUGUUGUAAGGGAAGAACGGUAGAUAGAGAAUAUCUAAAUGACGGUACCUUACCAGAAAGCCACGGCUAACUACGUG
rnacentral:rRNA from 1 species